rnacentral:rRNA from 1 species
UACGGGGGGAGCAAGCGUUGUUCGGAUUUACUGGGCGUAAAGGGCGCGUAGGCAGCCACCGCAAGUCAAUUGUGAAAUCUCCGGGCUUAACCCGGAAAGGUCAACUGAUACUGCGGGGCUAGAGUGCGGAAGGGGCAACUGGAAUUCUCGGUGUAGCGGUGAAAUGCGUAGAUAUCGAGAGGAACACCUGCGGCGAAGGCGGGUUGCUGGGCUGACACUGACGCUGAUGCGCGAAAGCCAGGGGAGCGAACGGG